UACGUAGGGGGCAAGCGUUGUCCGGAUUUAUUGGGCGUAAAGCGCGUGUAGGCGGCCAGGUAGGUCCGUUGUGAAAACUCGAGGCUCAACCUCGAGACGCCGAUGGAAACCAUCUGGCUAGAGUCCGGAAGAGGAGAGUGGAAUUCCUGGUGUAGCGGUGAAAUGCGCAGAUAUCAGGAAGAACACCCGUGGCGAAGGCGGCUCUCUGGGACGGUACUGACGCUGAGACGCGAAAGCGUGGGGAGCGAACAGG
rnacentral:rRNA from 1 species